rnacentral:rRNA from 1 species
UGGGCGCCGUUGAAAUGUAAAAUCCAUGUCUGGCUCACUAUCCAGCAUCGGAUCUGGACCUCCGAUCGGCGAGCGCGACAUGGACUACAAGAUCACCCCUCGGCCUGCUUCACGUGCCUGCAAGAGGAGGACAAUGCAGAACACAUACACUUACAAUGCUCUUACGCUAGACAGGUGUGGCACAAGUGCAUCAUCGGGUUGAACUUGGAGGUGGCUCACCCGCUUGGGCAGGAUAGCCUGUUGGAUUGGUGGCUACAAGCUAGAAGAAACUUCAUGCGGGCUGCAAGAAGAGGAUUCGACACGUUCGUAAUCGCAGUAACUUGGUCUCUAUGGAAGCAGAGAAACGCGAGAGUCUUCAACCGGAUAAAUCAACAAAAAACCGUGGAUGAGCUACACAACCACAUCAUGAUU